GGGAAUGUGGCUCAGUGGUAGAGCACUUGCCUGGCAAGCAUGAGGUUCUGGACUUGAUCCCC
rnacentral:tRNA from 1 species